ACGAACGCUGGCGGCAUGCCUAAUACAUGCAAGUCGAACGAACACUUCGGUGUUAGUGGCGCACGGGUGCGUAACGCGUGGGAAUCUGCCCUUGGGUUCGGAAUAACAGUUGGAAACGACUGCUAAUACCGGAUGAUGACGAAAGUCCAAAGAUUUAUCGCCCAGGGAUGAGCCCGCGUAGGAUUAGCUAGUUGGUGAGGUAAAGGCUCACCAAGGCGACGAUCCUUAGCUGGUCUGAGAGGAUGAUCAGCCACACUGGGACUGAGACACGGCCCAGACUCCUACGGGAGGCAGCAGUAGGGAAUAUUGGACAAUGGGCGCAAGCCUGAUCCAGCAAUGCCGCGUGAGUGAUGAAGGCCUUAGGGUUGUAAAGCUCUUUUACCCGAGAUGAUAAUGACAGUAUCGGGAGAAUAAGCCCCGGCUAACUCCGU
rnacentral:rRNA from 1 species